UUGCUGAAUUUGAAAACAAAUUGGCUUCUUGGUCGGCAUUUACAAACAUUUUGUGGACUAAAUGUAACAGCAAAACUGUUACAUUGGCUAAUAAGGGUUUGAGUCAGAAUUCAAAACAUUUUGAUGAGAAGUUUAAAUUUAGAAAUGUAACAUAUUUAUGCAAGCAUGGAGGAGUUAAGAGAACAAAAGGGAAAGGAAUUCGCCCAAAUCAAAGCUCUUUCAAAAUUGGAUGUUGUGCCAAACUUUAUAUUAGUAUUAAUAAAGAUAAAACAAAACUAGUAGUACAGCAACUUCAGGCUAACCAUAACCAUGAAGUCAGCAGAACUGCUUUUAUGCAUUACCCUGAACAACGCCGGUUAAG